rnacentral:SRP_RNA from 1 species
GCCAGGCACAGUGGUGUGUGCUGGUCCCAACUACUUGGGAAGCUGAGGCGGAGGAUGACUUGAGUCCAGGAGUUCUGGGCUGUACUGUGCUAUGCCAAUUAGGGGUCCACACUAAGUUUGGCAUCAAUAUGAUGACCUUCCAGGAAGGGGGGUCACCAGCUUUAGUAAUGAGGGGUAAACUGUCCCAGGUUGGAAACAGAGCAGAUCAAAACUCUGUGCUGAUCAGUAGUGGGAUCAUGCCUGCGAAUAGCCACUGCACUCUAGUCUGGGCAACAUAGCAAGACCUUGUCUUU